rnacentral:rRNA from 1 species
GACGAACGCUGGCGGCGUGCUUAACACAUGCAAGUCGAACGGAAAGGCCCUGCUUUUGUGGGGUGCUCGAGUGGCGAACGGGUGAGUAACACGUGAGUAACCUGCCCUUGACUUUGGGAUAACUUCAGGAAACUGGGGCUAAUACCGGAUAGGAGCUCCUGCUGCAUGGUGGGGGUUGGAAAGUUUCGGCGGUUGGGGAUGGACUCGCGGCUUAUCAGCUUGUUGGUGGGGUAGUGGUUUACCAAGGCUUUGACGGGUAGCGGGCCUGAGAGGGUGACCGGCCACAUUGGGACUGAGAUACGGCCCAGACUCCUACGGGAGGCAGCAGUGGGGAAUAUUGCACAAUGGGCGGAAGCCUGAUGCAGCAACGCCGCGUGCGGGAUGACGGCCUUCGGGUUGUAAACCGCUUUCGCCUGUGACGAAGCGUGAGUGACGGUAAUGGGUAAAGAAGCACCGGCUAACUACGUG